GAGUUUGAUUCUGGCUCAGGACGAACGCUGGCGGCGUGCCUAACACAUGCAAGUCGAACGGAGAUUUUAUUUCGGUAAAAUCUGAGUGGCGAACGGGUGAGUAACGCGUAGGCAACCUGCCCCGCAGCCGGGGACAACUUUCCGAAAGGGAGGCUAAUACCGGAUACGAACCGGGUAUCGCCUGAUACCGGGUUGAAAGAUGGCCUCUGAAGUACGCUAUCGCUGGGGGAUGGGCCUGCGUCCGAUUAGCUGGUUGGUGAGGUAAGGGCUCACCAAGGCGACGAUCGGUAGCCGGUCUGAGAGGAUGAACGGCCACAUUGGGACUGAGACACGGCCCAGACUCCUACGGGAGGCAGCAGUGGGGAAUCUUCCGCAAUGGACGCAAGUCUGACGGAGCAACGCCGCGUGAGGGAGAAAGUUUUUCGGAACGUAAACCUCUGUUGUUCAUGACGAAGAUGCUUUUUAUCAACCAACGAAGAGCAGUGCCGGUANAACNG
rnacentral:rRNA from 1 species